CUUAGUUGUUGAAAGUAAUAUGUUUAUACUUAAAUUUUCUUUUAAUGUUAGAUGGUUGAAGGAUGAGUAAGAUAAUGUCACCUCAUUGUAGCCCAGAGUUAAAGGGGUUAUAUUAUGCUGCUAAAAAGAACAUUAUUUUGAUGGUGCCAUCAAGUCCGGUCGCCGUCCAGGUCACUCCGCUUAGAUUGUGUUUUUAUUUACUUUUUUACCACUUUUGCUUUCUCUUUUUACACACAUAAUGUCUGCACUGAUCAUUUACGACAAAGUAACACUUUUGGACAUUGGACACCGCUUCACUGACCUGUUUCAGGACACUUUAUCCUCCAAUCCAUCGUGGCCAUCAGAUAUUCUCCGGAACGCCGAGAUAAACAAUGGCCACCUGAAUAACCACCCGAGGCGUCGGAUCAAAAAACACUGCGGGAAAUGCGCUGGGAUUCGCAACAGACUGAGGAAAAGAGCUCACAGCCCUCUUCUGCCGAGCAUUCUGCUCGCCAAUGUCCAGUCUCUGGAGAAUAAGAUGGACGAUCUUAGAGCCAGGACAAGUUUCCAACGGGACAUUAGGGACUGUAACAGCCUUUGUUUGUCUGAGACAUGGCUCACGACCUCGGUCCCGGACGCUGCUGUAACGCCGUCUGAACACUUCUCUGUUUUACGGAUGGACAGGACAGCCGAGGCUGGUAAAUCCAAAGGUGGAGGAGUGUGUUUCAUGAUCAACAAGAAAUGGUGUGACCCCAGGAAUAUCUACACUCUGUCGCGCACCUGCUCGCCUCAUCUGGAACAUUUAUCCAUUAUUUGCUGCCCAUUCUAUCUCCCCCGGGAGUUUUCAUCGAUCAUUGUUACUGCUGUUUAUAUCCCACCACAAGCUGACACUGGUUUGGCUUUGUCUGAGCUUCAUGAUGCACUCAGUGGCAACAUCAACAAACAUCCUGACGCUGCUAUUAUCAUCACUGGGGACUUUAACAAAGCCAACCUCAGGCAAGUUAUGCCUAAUUUUUAUCAACAUGUAUCCUGUCCAACCAGAGGACUGAAUACACUGCAUCAUUGCUACACUCAAUUUAAGAAUGCCAACAAAGCUCGCUCAUUACAGGCUUUCGGCAAAUCGGACCAUGCCGUCAUUUUCCUCACACCGGAAUAUAAACA
ensembl:lncRNA